rnacentral:rRNA from 1 species
GACGAACGUUGGCGGCGUGCUUAACACAUGCAAGUCGAACGGAAAGGCCCUGCUUUUGUGGGGUGCUCGAGUGGCGAACGGGUGAGUAACACGUGAGUAACCUGCCCUUGACUUUGGGAUGACUUCAGGAAACUGGGGCUAAUACCGGAUAGGAGCUACUGCUGCAUGGUGGGGGUUGGAAAGUUUCGGCGGUUGGGGAUGGACUCGCGGCUUAUCAGCUUGUUGGUGGGGUAGUGGCUUACCAAGGCUUUGACGGGUAGCCGGCCUGAGAGGGUGACCGGCCACAUUGGGACUGAGAUACGGCCCAGACUCCUACGGGAGGCAGCAGUGGGGAAUAUUGCACAAUGGGCGGAAGCCUGAUGCAGCAACGCCGCGUGCGGGAUGACGGCCUUCGGGUUGUAAACCGCUUUCGCCUGUGACGAAGCGUGAGUGACGGUAAUGGGUAAAGAAGCACCGGCUAACUACGUGCCAGCAGCCGCGGUGAUACGUAGGGUGCGAGCGUUGUCCGGAUUUAUUGGGCGUAAAGGGCUCGUAGGUGGUUGAUCGCGUCGGAAGUGUAAUCUUGGGGCUUAACCCUGAGCGUGCUUUCGAUACGGGUUGACUUGAGGAAGGUAGGGGAGAAUGGAAUUCCUGGUGGAGCGGUGGAAUGCGCAGAUAUCAGGAGGAACACCAGUGGCGAAGGCGGUUCUCUGGGCCUUUCCUGACGCUGAGGAGCGAAAGCGUGGGGAGCGAACAGGCUUAGAUACCCUGGUAGUCCACGCUGUAAACGGUGGGUACUAGGUGUGGGGUCCAUUCCACGGGUUCCGUGCCGUAGCUAACGCUUUAAGUACCCCGCCUGGGGAGUACGGCCGCAAGGCUAAAACUCAAAGGAAUUGACGGGGCCCCGCACAAGCGGCGGAGCAUGCGGAUUAAUUCGAUGCAACGCGUAGAACCUUACCUGGGUUUGACAUGGAUCGGGAGUGCUCAGAGAUGGGUGUGCCUCUUUUGGGGUCGGUUCACAGGUGGUGCAUGCCUGUCGUCAGCUCGUGUCGUGAGAUGUUGGGUUAAGUCCCGCAACGAGCGCAACCCUUGUUCACUGUUGCCAGCACGUUAUGGUGGGGACUCAGUGGAGACCGCCGGGGUCAACUCGGAGGAAGGUGGGGAUGACGUCAAGUCAUCAUGCCCCUUAUGUCCAGGGCUUCACGCAUGCUACAAUGGCUGGUACAGAGAGUGGCGAGCCUGUGAGGGUGAGCGAAUCUCGGAAAGCCGGUCUCAGUUCGGAUUGGGGUCUGCAACUCGACCUCAUGAAGUCGGAGUCGCUAGUAAUCGCAGAUCAGCAACGCUGCGGUGAAUACGUUCCCGGGGCU